rnacentral:rRNA from 1 species
UUGACCCGUCCUGAAGCACGGACCAAGGAGUUCAGCGUGUACGCGAGUCAUUGGGUGAAAAAACCCAAAGGCGUAAUGAAAGUGAAGGGAACUUUACGUUUCUGAGGGAGGAUGAGUCGGUUACCCGCAAGGGGCUGCUCCGCACUCCCGGGGCGUCUCUUUCUCAUUGCGAGUGGAGGCGCACCCAGAGCGUACACGCUGAUACCCGAAAGAUGGUGAACUAUGCCUGGCCAGGACGAAGCCAGGGGAAACCCUGGUGGAGGUCCGCAGCGAUUCUGACGUGCAAAUCGAUCGUCGGAGCUGGGUAUAGGGGCGAAAGACCAAUCGAACCAUCUAGUAGCUGGUUCCCUCCGAAGUUUCCCUCAGGAUAGCUUGCGCUCACGUGAAAGAGUCUCAUCCGGUAGAGCGAAUGAUUAGAGGCCUUGGGGUCGAAACGACCUCAACCUAUUCUCAAACUCCAAAUAGAUGAGAACUCCGGGCUUUCUUGAACUUUGUUUUUGAAGCCGGGGGCUCGGAUCAGAGUGCCAAGUGGGCCAAUUUUGGUAAGCAGAAGUGCCGCUGUGGG